GUGCCCUUUUAAGGUUGGUACUGUACCUUAAGAGGCUAACACAGAAGGGUAAAGGAACUCUCCAUAAAACCCAGAGAAGAGGCUCCACUCCUCCUCUUUGGAUCCUGUCUGGAGUCACAGUU
rnacentral:snoRNA from 14 species